rnacentral:rRNA from 1 species
AUUGAACGCUGGCGGCAGGCCUAACACAUGCAAGUCGAACGAGUCGCGGGGGUGUGAGUAAUGUCUGGGACAGCGCCUGAUGGAGGGGGAACACUACUGAAAACGGUAGCUAAUACCGCAUACCAGCGGCUGUGCCCAGAUGGGAUUAGCUAGUAGGUGGGGUAAGGGCUCACCUAGGCGACGAUCCCUAGCUGGUCUGAGAGGAUGAACAGCCACACUGGGACUGAGACACGGCCCAGACUCCUACGGGAGGCAGCAGUGGGGAAUAUUGCACAAUGGGCGCAAGCCUGAUGCAGCCAUGCCGCGUGUAUGAAGAAGGCCUUCGGGUUGUAAAGUACUUUCAGUGGGGAGGCGUUACCCGCAGAAGAAGCACCGGCUAACUCCGUGCCAGCAGCCGCGGUAAUUC